rnacentral:rRNA from 1 species
UACAUAGGGGGCAAGCGUUAUCCGGAAUUAUUGGGCGUAAAGGGUGCGUAGGCGGCCAUUUAAGUCUUUGGUAUAAGUGCAGUGCUUAACGCUGUGAUGCUAAGGAAACUGAAUGGCUUGAGUGAGAUAGAGGCAAGUGGAAUUCCAUGUGUAGCGGUAAAAUGCGUAAAUAUAUGGAGGAACACCAGUGGCGAAGGCGGCUUGCUGGGUCUACACUGACGCUGAGGCACGAAAGCGUGGGGAGCAAACA